CUGGUGACUGGCAAGACUUCCUAUGACUUCAGCAAUGCACUGUUAAUACUGCCCACUUUCAAAGACUUGACUAAGUUCAGGAUGGAAUUCUCUGUAAGACUUGAUGCCGCAGACAGAAUUGAUCUCAGGAUAACUAAGAAUUUGAAUUUAAAUCAGUUAUAUACAUAUAUAAGACUAUAUGUAAGACAAUGACAGUUUCAAGUAAAAAGUCUUUAACCUGUUACAUUAGGGUUAACUUAAUGAUCCAGAAAAGUUAGCUUCUACUGAAAGAACUUGAUCUAGGCAGAAGUUUCUCUUACUUUGGAUGCCGUCACCUUUGAAGCAGUGGAGAAUUGAGCCUUGGAGCAUUUUAUUAAGCUUGUGCUAAAAGGACAAAUGAAUUGUACUAAGUUGAUAGGAUUUUGUGUGACUUUUGAGAAAGAAUUUUUCCAAUUAUUCAUGACUUCCAGUGUACCAGUCUUAGAAUGUUUUCAGGCUCACAUUAUGGCUUUUAGAUAUUCUGGGUUUGGGUAAACUGGACUUUGCAUGCUGCCCUGGGGAGCAUUUUUAUUUUUUCAACUUGGUUUCUACUUAUGCCAUAUGAAUAUCAUUUUAGCUGAAAAUCAUUAGAAAAAUUUAAUCCUGAAGUCAUGAGAAAGUGAAAGGUAUUAUGAAAUUUAAAAUUACCAAGCCAUAAACAAUUUUGAGGUGUCAAGUUUUGAAUUUUAAAAACCCAAAAGCAUUAUUUUGGUUUAUUUGGCUUGUUGCAUAGAAACAGAAGUUUGUUAUUUGAUAUAUAAUAAACACUUUAUAUCUAACUCUCUUUAGUCCCCAAUAGCUGUUGUGUGUUGAGGCAUCUCAUCUUGUCAGUAGGUUGAUUGUCAGAGGAAUGCACUAUGGUAUUUGGGUGAGUUUAUGUUGCUUAGAAGGAAGAAUUCUUGACAACCUAGAAGCAGUUUAUGAAAUGAGAUAUAAAGGUAAAAAUGCAUAGAGAAUUGCAAUACACUAUAGUAAUACGAUGUGUGAUUAUUUUAAUGGAAAUUUUAUGACUUUAGUACACAUGAUGCUUAUAUACUUUUUCCAUGGUUUAUAUUGCCUUGGUAGGAAUAUUCAUGAUGAACAUAAGUCUGGGAAGUUCUUAUUUGCAUAAAACAUGGAACAGAACCAGAAUUCAUGAUUCAAGUGUCAAAAACUGUAAAUAAAAGCAAUCACAGAGCUGUGGCAAGUUUCACUAGUCUUGUAGCUACACACACAAAAAUACUGUUGUGUGCAUUAGAGGAGCUUCCAGUUUCCUCUGAGGUAUGACAGUAACAUGCUGUCAUCACUUUCUCACUUUCCACUCACACUUCCAUCUUCAGCAGUCUUGCUCAUGUCCCUGCAAUGCUAUUGAAAUUGCUCUUGUUUUAGUUUCCAAAGAUCUUUCUUGCUCAUUCCAAGAUGUUUGACUUCUCUGAAACGUUUCACAGAGCCUCAUCUUGAAUUCCUUUUUCAUCCUGGCUUCGCAAUAGCAUGUUGUCUUCUGAAAAUUCUCAUAUUCUUUGGGUCUGCCUCCUACCCCUUUAGUCAUUCUUUUUCCAUCUCAAGGUAACUUUUUGUCCUCCCAUUGUCAUUAAUGUUAGACCUUCAAGCUCUUUCCUUUUGGCCUCCUCUUCCAUCUCUAUACAUUUUCUCUGAAUGUUCUCUGUCUUCUCUAGAGGUAUCACUACUAUCCAUAUGCCUAUGGCUCUCACAUAUGACCUCUGUCCUUGGCUCAGACUUAGAUGUCUGCAGGAAGCAUCUCCGGGCUAUCAGAGGAGGACCCAUUUUCUAGGAACGGCUCUCCUUUUCUAACCAUAUGUUGAAAAGGUGGUAUUGUUUGACCCUUCCCUGUACUACAGCUAAUUUGUCUGGAGAUGGGUUCUUGGUCCAAGCUUGGCCAAUAAAUUUGUGUCCUUAGAUGUUUGGGCAACCUCCUUUGAGAUCUGGGGCUGGAAUCAGGGUGGGUAUCACGUGUACUGCUUUAGGGUCCCAUUAAUUCUGAUUGUUAAAUAUUGUUAAAUAUUUUAGAUUUCACCUCUGAUGGCAGGGUACAAAGUUUGGGAGUUGCAGACAACUAUACAUACUCUCAUGUAGACCAUAUAUGCAGAGGGAGCCAGACUGUAAAUCAGAGAUGAUGAAAUUUAUUCCGUGUGAAUUGUUUCUCAAUACUAAUACUUUUUUUUUUUAAAUCAAAAACUAAACGAGAGAUUUUAGAGACAUGGGCAACCUGAGAACCAUCCAGUGUCCUGAAGGCAUUAAAUCUCUGAAUCCCUAGCUGCUGAGGUACCAUUAACCUCCUUAUCCUAGUACAUUUACGAUGAAGUCUGCUCUUUGCUAAAGCUAGCUGGAACGGCAUGUCACCUUUUAUAAAAGUGGUUAAUAAAACCUCCUGCUGCCUAUUGGACAUUUCUACUUCUAUGUUAUGAACCUCUGAUUCUCUCUUCCUCCCCCAUCACAUCCUCACCUCCAAGCCUACUUCUCCCUCCAUGGCUCAGAAAAUGGCAUCUUUACUUACUCAAACUGCUGAACUGGUCAUUAUCUUUGAUUCUUCCUAUACCUCUCACUUCUAUCCAGUCAGUCGAAUCUUGUUAUUUCUCUGUCCAUUUAUUCCCCUUACCUUUCUUCUGAAUUACCCCCCCCCCGCAGUUUCUUUAUUUGAUCACCUUGUAAAGGGUUUUCUUCCUUCUAGCCCUGCCAUCUACCAGUAAAUUCUUACUCCACAGCAAUCUCUUCCUUGGCUGCAUAGGAUCUUUAGAUUCAUACUAGAACUCUUCAUGAUCAUGUUCAUAGCUGCCUCCCUAGCUUUAUCUCCUGCCACCACCCUUGUUCAUAUGGUUCAUAUGGCUUAGUAUGAAUGAGUCUGCCUGAAAUGCAGCUAGUUCCUCUAUACCAAUGCCUUCCUUUAUCACUAUCAGAGCACCCAAAACUGUAUAACUGCCCAUUUAUCUACUAGUCUGUAAGCUGCUUGAAGCCAAGGAUAAUGUUCUGUGAUUGAAUUACUGUUGUAAUGAACACAGUGCCUGCCUUAUGGAUGCAUUCUAUACAUAUUUAUUGGACAAAUGUAUGUGUUACAAGAAUAAAAUGCUCCUGGAUAUAAGUGCAGAGUGAGAGAAGUAGAUAUUUCAGCUGGUAAGUCAAGGACAAAGUCCCUUUCCAUGAACUUUAUGUUGGGAGACAAGCAAGACUGUAACUCUGGGUUCAGUGUUUCGUGAAUUAUCACUUAGCAAUCUUAAUAAUCUUGAACACGCAGCUCUUCACGCACUGGUUCAUGUUCAUCUCUUGGGACAAGCAUUGAUUCUUUGACAUGUAGCUAGUCAGAUAGAAUCAAUUUUACUGUCUACAGCUGGUGGCAUUUUUCUCUGUGCUUUCUGUCUUUAGUUCCUUGACAUUUUUUUAGAUAUUGCUGCUUUGAUUUUUCCAGACACUGCAGUAUAAGGACUAUUAGAUUAUUAAUGACCACAGCUGUGCACAUCUCAGAAAAGUUAACUACUUAAUUGCAUUAAUAUGAGCCUCUUGAGGCUCAGUGCUGGGUUCAUAUUAGAGUGAUUGGAUGGGCUGGAUGAUAAUAUAAAUGUGGAAGGUCACUAGAGAUUUACUAGGAUGCUUGAUUUCAAACUACUCAGGCUUAAAAAUAGGAGGGUGCAGAGAGAUAUUUGAAAGCAGAUGGUUGGAAUUGUAGAAAAUCUCAGUUUGAUAAGGCUCAUAAGUCUUUGGUUCUACCAGUUGCAUAGAUGGGUAAUAAAUUUGUAACUGAGAUGUGAGUUGGUGUCACCUUGCGCCUUAGGAUUUAGGCACACCUAGCUCAUUCUCAUUCUUUGCCUUGUGGAAUGGCUCUUUCUUUUUCUAAACCUUAUGUUCAUUCCCAAAAGGCUUAUGGUUUGAUGGUCACCUAACUCCACUAUCCUGCAACUCUUGACUCCUUGUCAUUAGCUCUGUCGUAUAGUUGUUCCCUGAUCUCUGACCUGCCAUAGUUGCUGCUGACCCUAAUGGGCACACAGCCCCCCUCUUUAUACCUUAUUAAGGCAACCACAGAUACUAGUGAUCUGUGCACAGUAGAGCUUGCUAUUAAUAAUAGCAAGGCAUCCUUGCUAUUAUUAAUUCACUGUGGGAUAUUCCCACUGGCUGCACUACCUGCUAAGGAUCCCACUUCUCUCAGUUUUUCUUUAUUGGGAUUUUUCCUCUUUAGAACCUUUGUAGUUUAAAAUCAUCAUCUUUUAUAUCACUUACAUAGAACAUUUAUUCCACAGUGAGUAGAGAGAUGGGAGUUUCUGAUUUGUGGACAGAGAAGUGGGAACUUUUAAAAAGUUAGAGCUCUGUGGAAGUGGGUGGCCCACCUCUGGGGGCUUCUAAGUGAGAUGUUACAGGAUGCCCUCUGCUUAUCCUUAAAGGGCAGAAGCACAGAUAGAUAACACAUAAAAAAGCUUGUUUUUUUAAUCUUUAUGCCCGUUUCUUGGUGAGGCCAUUUCUGAUGUGAAGACUUUGGGCAAAGGCCAAGGAGAAUGAGGCCUAUAACCAGCAAAUACUCAAGUACAUUUAUAUUUAUAGAAAGAUGGUUGGUGCCUGCCUAGACACAUGUUGGUUUAUUCCCUCUCUUCUGUUGGGUGGUCACUGCUCUCUCAUCAUCUCAUUUUAAGGGAAAUUUGCUCCUUUAACUAAGGUUUAACUAGUAAUAUUUAAGCUUUUCCUAGGGGAUACCAACCAAAUGACUUACUCAGGACAGGAAGAUAAUGCAAAUAAAAAAGGAACUGGGUGUAAAUAGAGAACAGAGAUAAAUGAUUCAGCUCCUGGCGUGUCUAGAAGAGGCAAUGAUAGGUGCUGAGGAAAUGCCAAACUCUGAGUGUAGCUCACAGGCUGAGGGCACGAUGCCUUCCUCUGUGUAUUCAAACCCAGAGCCUGUUGCUCAGCUCAAACGAAGAGUCAUAAAAUUUAUUACCUAUUAAUGCAAACAAACAAAAAACAAAACAUGGUAUGAGAUCCACACCAUGAGUUUCAAGCAAUGCAGAGGGAAGGUGGGGUCUGACCUGAGGGUCAGGACUAUUUGGCCUGCACUCGCGGUUCACACUUUGCAGCUUCAGCAGAAACUCGGCUCCGCUCUCCUUCUUCUCUUUGUAGCCCUUCUCCAGUGGUGAGAAACCUGACUCCCACUUCCUCUGACAGAUGUACCCAUUUGUUCCAGCAGUGGAUGCACAGAGCAUAGUUUCUGAAUUACUAACCCUGACCAUGAGAAGAGCAAACCUUUGUACAUGCACACGUGUGUACCUGAUCAAAACAGGCCCUUCCCGUUGCGCCAGAAAGCUCCACUGUGCUUUUCCUCCAGAAGUAGAUUAUGCUGUAGCUACUUCAGCUCACUUCCUUUUUCAGGUUCUCUGGAUCCAGGUAAUAUCCAAAAGUGUGCUGGUGUACUUCACAUUGAGCUGAUGCAGGAUUUUAGAUAGAAGAAUCUUCAAAAUUAAAGGGCAUUUUGUCAAAUUCUUAACCAGUACUCCUCAAAACUGUAGGGAUCAUGAAAAAUAAGAAAUGUCUGAGAAAUUUUGAAUAUUUGUAAUAUAAUUUAUUAAAACUAUUAAAAUUAUUCAGAACUUUGGCACAUAAAAAGCUCAUAUAGAUUUUGUAGGUCAGGAAACAGGAUCUGACUAAGACACAUCUGAAGAAAUAUCAGCUCCAUAUAAGACUUGUUAACAUAACUGGUGCUGAUUUUGACCAAAGUCACAAUCACCUUCUUUCAAAUCUCUCUUUGCACCUUGUAAGCAGGAAAAGCAGUUUUAAAUCGAGCAUAAUAGAGCAUGUGCAAGCUGGGCUAUCGUGAGCAUAUUAACUUCUCUGAGCCUCUGCUUUCCUGUCUCUGAAAUACAGUGACAGUCCUUACUUCAUAGGGUUGAUUUUGGGGUUAAGUAGAGAAAAUCCAUGUACAAUGCUUAGCAGAGAAGUAGAUACAUAGCAACUGUUCAAUAAACAGUAGCCAGUGUUAUUAGUAUUGGUUAGAAGGUGUCACAUAUACACUUCUAUCCCCAGAUUCAUCAUAGCUUCCUGUUUAAUUGCCCCAUCCCCCUCAGUAAUCCAUGAACUUCUUAAGGCCAAGAUUAUUUUCUUGUUUACCAUUGUCUCUCUAACUAGUAUGACUGCAUAUAGAAAAUACACAAUGAAAGUUUGUAAGUGAACUUUUUUUUCCCUAUGAAAUGAGAACAUUUCACAAAUUACUUUUCUGGAAUCCACUGUCCUAUGACUAUUCUCUUCUCAUUUUGACAGCUCCGCAGUAUCAUGGUAUGUGCAGCCAUUUGACUCUGAAGUAUUAUUACCUCCUACAGGUAUAAAUACACCUAUGCUGGGUAUUGGGAGAUCUUGUCAUAGGCUCUGGAGGCAGUUUCCUGACCCUUCCUACAUCACUUUCAUACUUAGUUUCUUUGUGCAGGAUGAUUCUGCUCUGUCUUCUUAAUGACAAAGGUCAUUUGGGCUCUACCAUGGGAGACAUUUUAAAGUUACUGUGUCUCUCUUCAAAGUUUAGGCUUGAAAACAUUAAAACAGAUGGUAGUACUUGGAGGGUAAUUAAUUUUCCUUUGGAGAAAUAAUCGCUUUCCUUUAAAAUAAAUUAUGCCUCCCUUUUUUUCCAAGAGGUAAUGGUUUAGUAAAUUGAGCAAUGAACUGGGUUGCCCUUGACUAGGAUUUAGGGGAAAAGGAGAAAUAUUUGGUGAUUCUGGCCCUGUCUGGCUGUGUGAAUUUGGGAGCCUCACGUUCUUGGGUGAUUGGGAAGAUUAAAUAAAACAGCAUUUUUAAGCGUACAGAAUGAGGCUUUAGAAUGGUUAGCCAAUAUAAUUUUUUAGAGGUAGAAAGGGGAUAUUACUAAUGAUCUCGUUGAUAUUGUAUAGACACUUAGAGUCUUAUCAAAGUACUAAUGAAGCACCCCAAGGGAGUUCCCAUCGUGG
rnacentral:lncRNA from 1 species